UACGAAGGGGGCUAGCGUUGUUCGGAUUUACUGGGCGUAAAGCGCACGUAGGCGGAUUGGUCAGUUAGGGGUGAAAUCCCAGAGCUCAACUCUGGAACUGCCCUUAAUACUGCCAGUCUAGAGUCCGGAAGAGGUGAGUGGAACUCCUAGUGUAGAGGUGGAAUUCGUAGAUAUUAGGAAGAACACCAGUGGCGAAGGCGGCUCACUGGUCCGGUACUGACGCUGAGGCGCGAAAGCGUGGGGAGCAAACAGG
rnacentral:rRNA from 1 species